CAAAAUGACUCAGGCUCAUGUUCGUAAACUUCUAAACCAAAUAACCACGAACCCAUUUUCAGAAUUAAAAAUUCAGAUACAUAAAACACAUCUGACCCAGCUGAAUACAAAAGGCUUAAGAAAAAUCAACUGUCAGUAUGUUUGCCCUUUCGCCCCGCCACUGAAGCAGGGAUCCUUCUAAUUCACAUUCUAACAUAACCUUCUUUCUGUAUUAUCACUACUUUGUGUCCCUUAUUGUUUCAAAGGGAGCAAAUGUCUCCCCAACGCCCACCAAAGAAUGAUAUAUGCUCUCCUUAUUUUUCAAACAAUGCGGGGCUCAACUCUACUUCUGGAAGACGAUACAAAACAAAGGUAGACACUGGAAUGGAACAGAAGGAUAAAGAGAGCAUAAAAAACUCACACUUCAGGGAAUAUUCGCGAUACUAGAAAACCUACAAAAUAAGUUUACUGUCAAGACUGCACAGCUAGCCUCUGAAGAUGCUCGAAGAAGACUUGAAGGCUCACAUCAUCUGUAAAUAUCACAUCAGAUCCAGCAGCCAUCUCAUGGGCGUUGUUGUAAUUAGCUGAUGGAUUCAAUUU
rnacentral:misc_RNA from 1 species